UGCAGUUAGGUGUUAGGAGGUUACACUCCAUGUUUUGGUCGUGGUAGUAUUAGAUGUUGACUGCAG
rnacentral:tRNA from 1 species